rnacentral:lncRNA from 1 species
CAGCCUCCUGAGUGCUGGGAUUACAGGCAUGUGCCACUACAUCCGGCUAACACUUUUAUUUGUCUCUUGAGACUUUUAAUUAUUUUUCAGUUAGUCUUUCUAAAUGACUUUAGUUGUCCAGGCGGGGCUUCAACUUGGGAUCCUUCUGCCUCAGGUUUCAAGAGUGCUAGGAUUAUAGCCCGUCCCAUUGUGCUGGCUCUGGUAGUGUCCUCAUUUUAUAAGUAACAAUACCCAGGCCCAGAAGCAUCAGGUAAUUGCCCAUGCUUCCAGUGGUCCAUAGCAAAGCAGAGGCCAGGCGUGGUGGCACAUGCCUGUAAUCCUAGCACUUGGGAGGCUGAGGCAGGAGGAUUGCUGGGCUGCAUAAGCAAGUUCAAGGCCAGCUUGCACUACAUAGUGAGACCCUGUCUCAACUCCCCCGCUCCAAAUAGCGAAGCAGAGUUUCAGAGCCACCUUUGCUGUACUUAGGAGCCCUCUGCACACGCUGAUCCCACUACAGCCCCGUCCUACACGGGUCAUGUCCACCUAAGAAUAAAGCUUGCCGCAGAGCCCAGACUCGAGAAAGGCUUCCCUGUUAUUAUUCCUGUUUGAUUUUGCCCUCUAUUGACUAUGGGCUGAGCUGUGCACCCCCGCGAGGUUCAUAUGCUGGAGAUCUAACCCCAGCAGCUCAACGUGACGGCAUUCGGAGACGGGCCUUUGAGAGGUAAGCCCGAUGGUGCAGCCCUCACGCUGGAAUCAGUGCCCCAGUAAGAAGAGACACAGAGAACCUGCUUCCUUUUUCCCUGGUCUGAUGAGACCAUGGUCAUCUGGGAACGAGGAAGCGGGCUCUUACCAGACACUAGGUCAGCUGGGGCCUUGAUCCUGGGCUUCCCUUCCUCCCUGGCUGGGAGGAGUACAUGUUUGUUGUUUAAACCACAGCAAGAAAAGAGACCAGCCCUGCUGAUACCACAAGUUUGCACUUCCAGGCUCCAGCGCUGUGAGGAAACACUUCUGUUGCUGAGGCCGGCCAGCCUGUGUGCGUUAGGUCAAUUCUGGCAAAUUACUACGGUGCUCAGAGCCCUCCUUAAUGACAGCAUUUCCCCUGGAGCCAGCGAAGAAGGUUUCAAGAAAGAAGCCGCAGGCAGGCACCUGUGA